CUAUACUGCAAGUCGAGCGGACAGAAGGGAGCUUGCUCCCGGAUGUUAGCGGCGGACGGGUGAGUAACACGUGGGUAACCUGCCUGUAAGACUGGGAUAACUCCGGGAAACCGGAGCUAAUACCGGAUAGUUCCUUGAACCGCAUGGUUCAAGGAUGAAAGACGGUUUCGGCUGUCACUUACAGAUGGACCCGCGGCGCAUUAGCUAGUUGGUGAGGUAACGGCUCACCAAGGCGACGAUGCGUAGCCGACCUGAGAGGGUGAUCGGCCACACUGGGACUGAGACACGGCCCAGACUCCUACGGGAGGCAGCAGUAGGGAAUCUUCCGCAAUGGACGAAAGUCUGACGGAGCAACGCCGCGUGAGUGAUGAAGGUUUUCGGAUCGUAAAGCUCUGUUGUUAGGGAAGAACAAGUGCAAGAGUAACUGCUUGCACCUUGACGGUACCUAACCAGAAAGCCACGGCUAACUACGUGCCAGCAGCCGCGGUAAUACGUAGGUGGCAAGCGUUGUCCGGAAUUAUUGGGCGUAAAGGGCUCGCAGGCGGUUUCUUAAGUCUGAUGUGAAAGCCCCCGGCUCAACCGGGGAGGGUCAUUGGAAACUGGGAAACUUGAGUGCAGAAGAGGAGAGUGGAAUUCCACGUGUAGCGGUGAAAUGCGUAGAGAUGUGGAGGAACACCAGUGGCGAAGGCGACUCUCUGGUCUGUAACUGACGCUGAGGAGCGAAAGCGUGGGGAGCGAACAGGAUUAGAUACCCUGGUAGCCCACGCCGUAAACGAUGAGUGCUAAGUGUUAGGGGGUUCCCCCCCCUUAUNGCU
rnacentral:rRNA from 1 species